GUUAUUCCCACCCUGGACCGUUACAAGAUCCACAUUAAAUACCAGUGUUGAGAGGUGCAGAGAACAAUACACUUUCAAGACUGACAUUUUUAUUGAGGAAGAGCAGAGGCUGAAUAUAUAGGUGAAGAUGGUAACGCACACCAACAAAAGAGUACCUGCCACUCCACUGACAAUAAGGCCGACUCCUGUGUCCACA